GAUGAAGAACGUAGUGAAAUGCGAUAAGUAAUGUGAAUUGCAGAAUUCAGUGAAUCAUCGAAUCUUUGAACGCACAUUGCGCCCGCCAGUAUUCUGGCGGGCAUGCCUGUUCGAGCGUCAUUUCAACCAUCAAGCCCCAGGCUUGUGUUGGGGACCUGCGGCUGCCGCAGGCCCUGAAAACCAGUGGCGGGCUCGCUGUCACACCGGGCGUAGUAGAUUUUAUCUCGCUCAGGGCGUGCUGUGGGUUCCGGCCGUUAAAAAGCCUUUUUUACCCAAGGUUGACCUCGGAUCAGGUAGGAAGACCCGCUGAACUUAAGCAUAUCAAUAAGCGGAGGA
rnacentral:misc_RNA from 1 species